UGAGCUAGUUGCCAGAUAAAUGCUUCAGUUUCGUAGCAGGCUUUUGCCUCAAGCGUCAAUGUUGUACUUUCGUUUCCAUAUUCACAAACUCAACACUUCCCCCCAACUAACUUUAAGUGGAACUCCAAAUUUUUUUUCGUAUUUUCUAAACGGUCUCUUUUUGUAUUAUAAUAAUGCAGCGUUUUCUGACGUUCAUUAUUGGAGGCAUUUGCGGCUACCUUAUUGCGAAACACCGCUAAGCCCCAGCUGCCUUCAAAGGAAUUCUACUUGCUGCUCAAUUAAUGACAUAACUUUGGAUGCCAAACCGCCUUAACGUUUAAUUUCUACGUCUCGGUUUUGUAGUCAAAUUAUUAACAUUUCAACAUCAAAAUAAGCAUGGGCUUCUCUC